rnacentral:rRNA from 1 species
GAUGAACGCUGGCGGCGUGCUUAACACAUGCAAGUCGAACGAAGCACCUCUCCCGAAGAUUGACACAGCUUGCUGUAGAUUGAUUCAUUUGAGGUGACUGAGUGGCGGACGGGUGAGUAACGCGUGGGUAACCUGCCUCAUAGAGGGGGACAACAGUUGGAAACGACUGCUAAUACCGCAUAGUAAGAAGAAUUCGCAUGUUUUCUUCUUGAAAGAUUUAUCGCUAUGAGAUGGACCCGCGUCUGAUUAGCUAGUUGGUAAGGUAACGGCUUACCAAGGCGACGAUCAGUAGCCGGCUUGAGAGAGUGAACGGCCACAUUGGGACUGAGACACGGACCAAACUCCUACGGGAGGCAGCAGUGGGGAAUAUUGCACAAUGGGGGAAACCCUGAUGCAGCGACGCCGCGUGAGUGAAGAAGUAUUUCGGUAUGUAAAGCUCUAUCAGCAGGGAAGAUAAUGACGGUACCUGACUAAGAAGCCCCGGCUAACUACGUG